rnacentral:tRNA from 1 species
GAGGUUGUGACUUAGCGGUAGAGUGCUUGCCUAGUAUGUGUGAAGCACAGAGUUCAAUUCUCAGCACCGCA